AGGAUCCCUACUCCAAAAUGUGAACAGAGCACUGUAUAAUUGACGUAAAUAACCUUCAAUGACAAGAGAAAUCACUUUUACGCCAACUAACAAAACUAAGGGCCCUAUGCGAUAAAAUUUCCAUGGCGAACAAUAAGAUCGUAAAACACAAAGAAAGUAAAAAAUAAAUUCAAACCAAGGUCGCGACGUAUUCAGUCGAUCGCUGUAAUGUCAGUAUUGCACACAUUCCCUAGAAGUUAUUUAAAUAGACAAUUUAGCGCACAGCUAAGAGUUUUGGAUUGUACGCGAUAUGAAUAUUACAAUUUCGUGACUUUGAUUUUAAUUUAAUUUCGGUCGGCUAUCUUAUGUAACCUUAAGGCAAUAUUAUUCAAACCCACUAAGACUAAUCAUGCCCUGUGACUUCAACGCAUCUGCAACUUAAGUCCCCGAGGCCUACAACACCCAAUUAAGAAAACUGUGGUUGUGGCAUCAGUUAGGGAUUCAACAGCUUAAUGGGAAACCUGAGAGCUUUAUAUUGGACCGGAAUCUUUCCUUGUGGAAUAACCAAAUGCACCGAAGCUUGUGAAUACAUGAAAACCAUUGGUAUACAAAUUUUGAAGGAGGACACAUAACUAAGUUUUAAGAUAUUGACAUGAUACCCGGAGAUAAUCUAUGAAGACUUAAGUUCCCCGGAACAAAAGUUUUAAAUCUAAUGAUGACAAUAAAUUAAUUUACAUAAUAUAGUGAAAUACACAGUUGUGUUUUUUUUAAUAAAAAUAUUUCCAAGAAUGAAACGAUUAUGUAAAAAAAGAAAAUCCUUAAUAAUUCCCAAUUCUUAUAUUUGGCCCGGAGAAUAAGCAAUGUUUAAAAAUGAAUGUUUUUCUAAAAGAAAAAAAACCAAAAACAAGUAAAAUACUUUUUUUACGUUGUCACUGACGUCUUUUUACUCCUACACAUUUUAUUUAUUAUAGUUGUGAAAUAUAAUUCAACGCAAAAUUGUUGUCGAGGGAGCUUACUUUAUUUUCAGUGUGUGUAUGGGAAUAGGAGGACAGCAAUGAUGUUACAUACUCCGUUGAAAAUCGCCUUGACUGGUAGGCAAUUACUUACGCGCUCGUGCAUGUUGCGUGAUCAUAUAAUUGUAUGGCGUUCGCAUAAGUUUGCGAAUGCACAUUUUAUUGGUAGAGAAGAAACAUUGUUGUACACCGACACGCGUUAUGUGAGAACCUUUACGCCGGCAAUUCAAGUGCAUUAUUUUAAAUAACAUUUAAGGAAAAAACAGUUGAAUGAUUUUUUUGUGAU